rnacentral:rRNA from 1 species
CCCAGCCAUAACAUGGCAACACACUUGCUCGCCAAACAACUACGAGUGAAAACUUAAAACUUAAAGGACUUGACGGUACUUCACCCAACCUAGAGGAGCCUGUCCAAUAACCGAUAACCCACGAUUAAUCCAACCACUUCUGGCCACCCAGUCUAUAUACCGCCGUCACCAGCCCACCUUGCAAAAGAAACAUAGUGAGCCAAAUAGUCCUACACUAACACGACAGGUCGAGGUGUAACUUAUGAAGUGGAUCAAGAUGGGCUACAUUUUCUAACACAGACCAUACGAACAAAGACAUGAAAACAUCUUUCAAAGGUGGAUUUAGCAGUAAGCUAAGAACACAAUACCUAGCUGAAACCAUUGCAA